rnacentral:rRNA from 1 species
UGUCUAGGUGGCUGUGCAAGUCGAAGAUGAAAUCCCAUGGCUCAACCAUGGAAUGGUCUUCGAAACUGCAUAGCUUGAGGAUGGUUGAGGAAGACGGAAUUCCCGGUGGAGCGGUGAAAUGCGUAGAUAGUCGGGAGGAACACCAGAGGCGAAGGCGGUCUUCUGAGUCAUUCCUGACACUGAAGCACGAAAGCGUAGGGGAGCGGAACG